rnacentral:antisense_RNA from 1 species
AAGUUUUGGUAUCUGCGCUCCGUGUAAGCCAGUUACCUGGUUCAACGAGUUCCCCAACUCAUUGAACCUUUGAAAAAAACCGCCUCCCCAGGCGGUUUUUUUUCAU